rnacentral:rRNA from 1 species
UAAGGUCACGGCAAGACUAGCCGUUAUUCUACGAUAGGUGCCAAGGGAAGUGCAGUCAGUAUAUAGCUGAGGCAUCCUAACAGACCGAGAGAUUUGAAC